rnacentral:rRNA from 1 species
GUGGGGAAUUUUGGACAAUGGGCGCAAGCCUGAUCCAGCAAUGCCGCGUGCAGGAAGAAGGCCUUCGGGUUGUAAACUGCUUUUGUACGGAACGAAACGGUCCGGGUUAAUACCCUGGGCUAAUGACGGUACCGUAAGAAUAAGCACCGGCUAACUACGUGCCAGCAGCCGCGGUAAUACGUAGGGUGCAAGCGUUAAUCGGAAUUACUGGGCGUAAAGCGUGCGCAGGCGGUUUUGUAAGACAGGCGUGAAAUCCCCGGGCUCAACCUGGGAAUUGCGCUUGUGACUGCAAGUCUGGAGUGCGGCAGAGGGGGAUGGAAUUCCGCGUGUAGCAGUGAAAUGCGUAGAUAUGCGGAGGAACACCGAUGGCGAAGGCAAUCCCCUGGGCCUGCACUGACGCUCAUGCACGAAAGCGUGGGGAGCAAACAGGAUUAGAUACCCGAGUAGUCC